UACACUUAGUUCAUUCUCAAUAAGUCAAAGAUCAAUUCAUGAUCUAAUUAAAAAAUGAAAUGUGUUAACCAAUCCAGCUAAUACAUAUAUUGCUAUGCAUUUCAUGAGGCUAAGUCAUGAAUCACUCAUCAGGCACACCAUGAAAUCACCCUAGUUGCCUGAAUCAUGUUGUGUUGGGAAUCAAUGUCACAUUGAGGAGUAAAAAUCUGUUAUUGCCAUUGAUUCUCAUCACAACUUGGUCCAGUCUACCCGGGAACCCAUAUACUAUGUACUUCCAUUCACUUGUCUUAUUUGAAGGCUGUUUGGAUUCUUUGACUGAUGGACAGGGUCAUAAAGGCUGGAGAGCAGUGGAAAUCUUAACAUUAGAUGGAAAUUAAAGCAAAGUAACAACAAACCUUCAUCUUUAUAUUUCCAAUUUUCAUAUCACAAUUUCCUCAUUUUUAAUUUUUUGCCAUAUCAAUCAUGUUUUUCUCAGUUCUAAUAUGUAAAAUAUUGUUGCUGUCGGACUAAAGCAGAGUAAAACAAUAAAACAUUGAUCUACAUGGGAUGGGUUGUGGUUUUAUAGUAUCCUCUAAAUUAAUCUAA